rnacentral:lncRNA from 1 species
CUAAAUCCCAAAAGAAUCUAGAAAGGAACAAAUACAACAAGGGUAGUAAGGAAGCCCCGGAAAGAUCAUAGAACACUAGCCCCAUAAACUAGUUAUGGCAUGCAAAUCUGCAAUGGCACUUAUUGGAUUGUAGGAAACAGUCUUAGAGCAUGCAUCUCAGGUUUGUCUCCUCUUUCUGAGAUCGAUGCUUGGUGUUUAUGUUCUGGAUUGGAGCAGCAACAUUACCAUGUUCAGUUUUGCGAGUAAUAGUGCUUGGAAGUAAGAGAUGUUGCACUUCUUUUCACCAUGUGCCUCAAGGGAUUAUGGCUAUCUUGCAUUUGCAUGUGAAUCUAGUGAUUUGUUUAUGAUAAUGUGAGUCUUCCUGCUUCUGGCUCUUCUAAACUUAAUGUUGAUAGCUCUAGUAGGUUUAUAGAUAGCAGUGCGAUAUAAUUUAGAGCAUGGAUUAUCCUUCCCAACAAAUCUUAUCUCUUUUUGUCUUUAUUUGAUCAAAUUAGACCAAGUAAUGUAAUUAUGCUUUUAUUACUUUUCUAUUUAAUUGAAUAUUAUUUACCAACAAGAUAUUGGUCUAGUGGAUUAAGGCUAUGCUAGAUUCAUAGGAUGACUAAAAGGUCAAUGAUUCGAUUAUUGAGAACGACACUUAUUGGGAGGAGCAACCACGUACCCCGAAAGAGAUUAGUUAUUUAAUCAAAAAGGUGAGAGAUACUAGCGAUACUACUAAAAAAAAUUAAAUGAUACAUUUUAAUUAGUAUGGAAUGCAAAAAGAAACAAAGGAUAUCCGUUUUUUAAGAUUGUAUUGUGGAGUCUCAUAUUGGAUAAGGAUGUUGGCAUCCAGGAUUUGGAUGUGGAAAUAGAUUCUAAUGUAAAUCUUACUUUGGUUUUUCUCUUAUUGCUUUCCGGACGAAAUUAGAGUUAGGGUUCGAAAAUUAUUUGUUUUGGUAUUUUACCUUUUGCGUAACGUAUCUCUUUUAGAGUAUGUGAUUUGUCCCUCCAAUAAAUGUUGUUUACAUAGAUUAAAUUCUUAAUAUUUUAGUCAUUUUAGGGAUCUAAUGAAAUAUUGUACUACUAAAUUAACGUCUUAUCUUAUUAGUGGGUUAUAACAUUAUAGUACACCAUAAUUUUUUGAUGAGCAAAAGUAAUAUUUUUACAUUAUGAAGAAGAAUAAAACAAGAGUAUUAUAAGGUUUAAUACAUUUUCAUACAGAAUUUGGGGUUGGCAACCCAAUUAAUAAAUGUAUCCUUCAUCAUAUUUAUAACAAUACUAAUAGAUGUGCAGAUCUUGUUGCUAAAGAUGGUCAUCAUGGUCCUUUUUCAUUGUAUUUAGUUUCAGUCUUAUCAUUCUCAGCUUUUUCCGAGGACUCGUGGAAUAUCUUUUCCAAGAAUAGUUAGUUAUUAGUUAUUUUUGUCCGCGGUUGAAUAAAAAAAUUAUACACCAAUUAAACACAAAAAUUAUGAACUAUUUUAUUUUUUAAAGGAAAUUAAUAAACUAUUUUAGUCUUGCAUAUAAAAGUUGCAAGGAAUAAUAUCAUGAAUGCUUCACUUUUUUGUUUGUGUUUUAGAGUUGGGCAUGUCAUUUUCUCAUUGAGAUAUAGAAAAAGAGAAAAAUAUGUAUAAAUUGAUAGUGUAAGAGAUUUUUACACUAUCAUUACAUAAAUUUUAUAUCAUAAAAAUAUCUAAUUGUAUAUUUGAAUUUGAAAUACCUUCAACUUUUUUGGUAAGGAACUAAUUCUUUUCCGGGUUCGUGACUGUUGUUCCAACUAGUGUUAUCCCAAGGAUUUGAACCCUUUAUUUUAGGGAUCCAAUUUUACACCACUAAAUCCAACGUAUUUCUUGAUUUAUCUAAGCCAUUUACUUCAAUCUUAUAAAUUUUACACUUAAUGACUCAAAUAUUUACUUCACAUCGCUGAAAGCUCGAAUUGGGAAUAAUGUUAGGUUUCAAAUAGGAACAAUCUAGUGGCUCAUUGCCAUCUACUUUUUUUUACAGUGCUAGUCAAUUAGACAAUAUCACAUUGUUAAUUAAAAAUACUUGGUUAUUAUGACAAGCAUUUAAAAAACUAUAUAUCAACUUUCUAUCAUUAAAUUAUAAUUAUGUUUGUACAUAAGAUAAAUUUUGGGUGAAUAACAAUGGGUGAAUAAGAUUUUCCUAAAUUAGCAACUCAUGUGAUAUAGUGACAGGUCAUAUUUGGCAGCACCUUAUCAUCACAACAAGUGGAUGAGUUGGAAUGUCUAGAACCAUUGAAAUUGGAUAAAGGAGUGUACGAUUUUAUAUAAGGUAGAGAUUUCAUCAAAACAUGUGACCCUAUGGUUGCAAGCACCAAUUACUUGAGUCUUUCAUGUUAUCAAAAUAUUAUCUUCAACGCAUGUAAGCUUUUGUAACGUGUGGAUAUGUAGCCAGCCACAAAACUUCACAUAAUCUCCUUCAUUUAAACUUGACCCUAUGGUUGGGCAAAUUUACUCCAUAGGUGCACCUUGACUGAAAUAUUACAGUCUUGAUACACCUUUAAAGUUAUUUGUUAUUUUGGUGCACUUUUAAAGGAAUCAUCAAUGUUGGUGCCGAGUUUCUUUUUCUUUUUAUUAACUCCCUCAUAACUCGUUCUUACCAUUGCCGAUUUGGGUUAUUUAAUAUAUUUUUGAACUCGUCCAUUUCUGUAAUAUAUGCAUUAUAUAUCAUACGAAAAGGAAAAUAAAGGAAUGGAAUUGAAAGGAAGGGAGACAGAAAAUAAAGGAGCAUAUUUCCCUUGUUUUGUACCAUGCAACCAUUAUAAAAUAAAAUAGUAAAUACUCAUUUUAGUCUCUUAUGUUUUUCGAUUUUACAAACUUGGUCUCUGAAAAAUUGAAAAACUCAAAAUGGUACCCAAAAUUUUUAAAUGUGGGUCAAAUUAAUCCCUAACAGAUGGUAAAACAUGCUAAAAACGAC